rnacentral:lncRNA from 1 species
UUAAAAGAAAGAAAAGAAGGAAAGUAGUAAUAUAUGUUAACCCAUUCGUUGGGGUUUACAUAUUAAUGAUAAGGUCCUAUCACUCGGUGAUCGGGUUAUUGAGGCACUCAUAUUACCCGGAAGUAAUACUAGCACUUGAACGUUUAUCACUAGAUUUCGUUUAAUACCGCCAGAUAGAAGGAUUUCGUUUAUAUUGAAAAGAGACAGUUUUGUCACACCCCAACCGAUCGAACACUACUUCGUCAAUACUAUACUUCAAAAGUUUGGAAAAGUGGGACGCCAUGUGCUAGC